GUACUUCUCCAAAACCCCAACCUUUCCCUAUCUUCAAAGAUCUCCACCCACCCUCCUCUUCCCAUUUUUGACCCCUUUUCAAUAUUUCUAGGGUUUGUUCUUCACAAAUCUCUCAAAUUCUCUUCAAUUUUUACAAAUCUUGCAAAAAGAUUUCUGGGUUUUGUUCCUUGUGGUGUUUAAGACCAGAAAGAUUAAGAAUUUGCAACAAUCAACAGGAAAAAUAUCACCUUUUUUACCAGUUGUGGAGGUUGCUGUUGAUAAGGAGAGUAUUGAUAUCCUUGCACGGGAUACCCGGUUUGGUAUGUUGGAGGAAAUGGUGAGGGAUAAAGAGCAUUAAAGUGAGCUGCCUCAAGAUAUGGAUCCUGGGCAAGAGCUUGGUAAUCAUAACCAGUAGGAGCUUGACACCCAAACGGGUUAUACCCAGACGAACUUGGGUAAGUAGGUAUUGGGUUUUCAUAACCCAUAGGCGGUGGCGGUGGUGCAAAGAUAACCGGCGGGGGAUCAUUUUCCGGCACCUCGUGAGAAGGUCCACCCAUUUGUGGAUCUUUGGGGAUUGGAGGGUAAGUGCUUGAAGCUUGUGGGGAACUAAAUCUCGGUCCCCCUCGCACGGACAUCGUUGCAUUCCUCCUCCACCUUGGUGGCUCAGGAGGUGGUUGUGGUGGUUGUUGAGGUGGUUCCUCAACGGGCAAUGGCGGUGGAGUAACCGCCUGAAGAUACGGUUCGUCCAAUGGAGGUUGUGGAGGAAAGUUGUGAAAAGAAGGGGUAAAUUCCCACUUGUAUGUGUUCCACCUUUCGGACCAUGAAUCGGGGCCUUGAUAUGGCGAUCCUGCAUAUGAAGAUGUAACGCCCAUAUUUCUUAAUCCGAAAAGUAAUAUUACCAUACAAUUAUUUAAAAAAAUAUUCAGGCAUGAUCCGUUCGUAAUAAGAACAAUUCCCUGUAAGAUCAUCGUGUAAGAACUUAAAGAUAACGCAGCGGAAAAAAUAGCUUUAAAAAUUU